ACACACAGCCAUAUCACCCUGCAGCCCAAGACCGGUUACUCACUAAAGCUAAGCAGGGCUGAGCCUGGUUAGUACCUGGAUGGGAGACCACUAGGGAACACUAGGUUGCUGUUGGAA
rfam:Danio rerio chromosome 3, GRCz11 reference primary assembly.